UUGUGGUUCAAGUUGCAUUCUUAAAGAUCUCCUCUUUCUUCUCUUUGGCUGCACCUUUGGCAAUAAGUGGAAAUUGCAGUUUUUGGAGCUUAGUUUUUUGGAACUCUGCGCUAGUUGUGAUUUUUUUUUUUUUCCCAGCAAUGUCACAAUGUCCUAAUAAAAGAUGUCUCUCUCUGCCCCUUUCCUUUAGUCUCACACAGGUGGACGUGACACCCAGAAGAAUUGGACCUUCAAUUCUGACAGUUUUGACCCAAGGCCUCACAGCAUGAGACAAACAACAUGUCUUUGAAGAGAUCUCACCCCUGGUGCAAUCUGCACUGGACAGUUACAAUGUUUGUGUCUUUGCCUAUGGCCAGACGGGAAGUGGAAAGACCUAUACCAUGGAGGGAAGAGGGGGGGGGGGAUGGGGGAGCUCAGUGCUAGCAUUCCCAAAGCGCAGGAGAACAUUUUCAACAAAGCAGAGAAACUAGCAGCUUCAUGGAGGUGUACAACGAGACCCUGCGGGACCUUCUGUUCACGGUGAAAAAAAGGCCCAAACAUGUAAUCAAUAGAGGGGGAGACAAGGUGACCAUCAGGAACCUUAAGUCUGUACCGGUCUCCAACAAGGAUCAGGUUCUAGGCCUUAUUAAGGCGGCCAAUCAGAAUCGGGCAACAGCCGAGACUUCCAAAAAUGAUCGGUCUUCACAGUCCCACUUCAUCGUCCAGAUGGAAAUCCAGCGAGUUAAUGUUGGAAGGGGUAUCCAUCAUCAUUUUGAGUAUAAUCUCGCUAAUUAGGUCAAAAUCCAAAAUGUGGUUUGACUUGUGUAUUUAGAAUAUCAAAACUCUGGUUAAGAUGGAGAUCUUGUUGAGUUGUCUGAAAUUGCUGCCAGUUCUGCAUACGUGAUAUGUGCUCUUUUUAUCAGAGUAUUUUACUCUGUGGUUGAUUAAGUUAAACCUUUCUUCAUUUUAUUAUUAUGGAAAAAAAAAUAAAUCACCUUUUUGUAAUACAAUAUAAAC